rnacentral:rRNA from 1 species
GACGAACGCUGGCGGCGUGCUUAACACAUGCCAGUCGAACGGAAAGGCCCUGCUUUUGUGGGGUGCUCGAGUGGCGAACGGGUGAGUAACACGUGAGUAACCUGCCCUUGACUUUGGGAUAACUUCAGGCAACUGGGGCUAAUACCGGAUAGGAGCUCCUGCUGCAUGGUGGGGGUUGGAAAGUUUCGGCGGUUGGGGAUGGACUCGCGGCUUAUCAGCUUGGUGGUGGGGUAGUGGCUUACCAAGGCUUUGACGGGUAGCCGGCCUGAGAGGGUGACCGGCCCCAUUGGGACUGGGCUACGACCCAGACUCCUACGGGAGGCAGCAGUGGGGAGUAUUGCACAAUGGGCGGAAGCCUGAUGCAGCAACGCCGCGUGCGGGAUGACGGGCUUCGGGUUGUGAACCGCUUUCGCCUGUGACGAAGCGUGAGUGACGGUAAUGGGUAAAGAAGCACCGGCUAACUACGUG